UACGGGGGGGGCAAGCGUUGUUCGGAUUUACUGGGCGUAAAGGGCGCGUAGGCGGCCUCUGCAGGUCGACUGUGAAAUCUCCGGGCUUAACCCGGAAAGGUCAGCCGAUACUGCAGGGCUAGAGUGCAGAAGGGGCAACUGGAAUUCUCGGUGUAGCGGUGAAAUGCGUAGAUAUCGAGAGGAACACCUGCGGCGAAGGCGGGUUGCUGGGCUGACACUGACGCUGACAGCGCGAAAGCCAGGGGAGCAAACGGG
rnacentral:rRNA from 1 species